rnacentral:rRNA from 1 species
AAUAGAUACCCCGGUAGUCCACCCCGUAAACGUUGGGAACUAGUUGUGGGGUCCUUUCCACGGAUUCCGUGACGCAGCUAACGCAUUAAGUUCCCCGCCUGGGGAGUACGGCCGCAAGGCUAAAACUCAAAGGAAUUGACGGGGACCCGCACAAGCGGCGGAGCAUGCGGAUUAAUUCGAUGCAACGCGAAGAACCUUACCAAGGCUUGACAUACACCAGAACACCCUAGAAAUAGGGGACUCUUUGGACACUGGUGAACAGGUGGUGCAUGGUUGUCGUCAGCUCGUGUCGUGAGAUGUUGGGUUAAGUCCCGCAACGAGCGCAACCCUCGUUCUAUGUUGCCAGCACGUAAUGGUGGGAACUCAUGGGAUACUGCCGGGGUCAACUCGGAGGAAGGUGGGGAUGACGUCAAAUCAUCAUGCCCCUUAUGUCUUGGGCUUCACGCAUGCUACAAUGGCCGGUACAAAGGGCUGCAAUACCGUGAGGUGGAGCGAAUCCCAAAAAGCCGGUCCAGUUCGGAUUGAGGUCUGCAACUCGA